GUAGGUGGCAAGCGUUGUCCGGAAUUAUUGGGCGUAAAGCGCGCGCAGGCGGUUCUUUAAGUCUGAUGUGAAAGCCCACGGCUCAACCGUGGAGGGUCAUUGGAAACUGGAGAACUUGAGUACAGAAGAGGAAAGCGGAAUUCCACGUGUAGCGGUGAAAUGCGUAGAGAUGUGGAGGAACACCAGUGGCGAAGGCGGCUUUCUGGUCUGUAACUGACGCUGAGGCGCGAAAGCGUGGGGAGCAAACAGGAUUAGAUACCCUGGUAGUCCACGCCGUAAAACGAUGAGUGCUAAGUGUUAGGGGGGGUUUUCCGCCCCCCUUAGUGCUGCAGCUAACGCAUUAAGCACUCCGCCUGGGAGUACGGCCGCAAGGCUG
rnacentral:rRNA from 1 species